CCUACGGGUGGCAGCAGUCGAGAAUCAUUCACAAUGGGGGAAACCCUGAUGGGGCGACGCCGCGUGGGGGAAUGAAGGUCUUCGGAUUGUAAACCCCUGUCAUGUGGGAGCAAAUUAAAAAGAUAGUACCACAAUAGGAAGAGACGGCUAACUCUGUGCCAGCAGCCGCGGUAAUACAGAGGGCUCAAGCGUGGUUCGGAAUCACUGGGCGUAAAGUGUGCGUAGGCGGUUUCGUAAGUCGUGGGUGAAAGGCGCGGGCUCAACCCGCGGACGGCACAUGAUACUGGGAGACUAGAGUUAUGGAGAGGGAACCGGAAUUCUCGGUGUAGCAGUGAAAUGCGUAGAUAUCGAGAGGAACACUCGUGGCGAAGGCGGGUUCCUGGACAUUAACUGACGCUGAGGCACGAAAGCCUGGGGAGCGAAAAGGAUUAGAUACCCGUGUAGUC
rnacentral:rRNA from 1 species